rnacentral:snoRNA from 1 species
CAGCAUUCUUAAACCCUCUUGGUAGCAUUGCUGAAGACGCUUCCAAGAUAUGAGUGAAUGCGACAGAAAAUUGCAGACAGAUUAAUCCAAAAUGCUAAGUAUUUUCUUCUGACUUGGCAUUAUUUCGCAUCUGACAAUUUUU